CACGUAGGGGGCAAGCGUUGUCCGGAUUUAUUGGGCGUAAAGAGCUCGUAGGCGGUUCGGUAAGUCGGGUGUGAAACCUCCAGGCUCAACCUGGAGACGCCACCCGAUACUGCUGUGACUCGAGUCCGGUAGGGGAGCGUGGAAUUCCUGGUGUAGCGGUGAAAUGCGCAGAUAUCAGGAGGAACACCGGUGGCGAAGGCGGUUCUCUGGGCCUUACCUGACGCUGAGGAGCGAAAGCGUGGGGAGCAAACAGG
rnacentral:rRNA from 1 species